rnacentral:rRNA from 1 species
UGCUAAUACGGGAUAAUAUAUUUGAGAGGCAUCUCUUGAAUAUCAAAGGUGAGCCAGUACAGGAUGGACCCGCGUCUGAUUAGCUAGUUGGUAAGGUAACGGCUUACCAAGGCGACGAUCAGUAGCCGACCUGAGAGGGUGAUCGGCCACAUUGGAACUGAGACACGGUCCAAACUCCUACGGGAGGCAGCAGUGGGGAAUAUUGCACAAUGGGCGAAAGCCUGAUGCAGCAACGCCGCGUGAGUGAUGAAGGCCUUCGGGUCGUAAAACUCUGUCCUCAAGGAAGAUAAUGACGGUACUUGAGGAGGAAGCCCCGGCUAACUACGUGCCAGCAGCCGCGGUAAUACGUAGGGGGCUAGCGUUAUCCGGAUUUACUGGGCGUAAAGGGUGCGUAGGCGGUCUUUCAAGUCAGGAGUGAAAGGCUACGGCUCAACCGUAGUAAGCUCUUGAAACUGGGAGACUUGAGUGCAGGAGAGGAGAGUGGAAUUCCUAGUGUAGCGGUGAAAUGCGUAGAUAUUAGGAGGAACACCAGUUGCGAAGGCGGCUCUCUGGACUGUAACUGACGCUGAGGCACGAAAGCGUGGGGAGCAAACAGGAUUAGAUACCCUGGUAGUCCACGCUGUAAACGAUGAGUAC